rnacentral:rRNA from 1 species
AUACGUAGGUGGCAAGCGUUAUCCGGAAUUAUUGGGCGUAAAGAGUGAGCAGGCGGUUAAUUAAGUCUGAGGUUAAAGCGUGGGGCCCAACCCCAUAAAGUCUUGGAAACUGAUUGACUAGAGUACGGGAGGAGUGUAGGGAACUCCAUGUGCAGCGGUGAAAUGCGUAGAUAUAUGGAAGAACACCAGUGGCGAAGGCGCUUCACUAGCCCGAAACUGACGCUCAGUCACGAAGGCGUGGGUAGCAAAUAGGAUUAGAUACCCUAGUAGUCCACGCUGUAAACGAUGACUACUAAAUAUUGCCGCGAGGCAGUGUUGAAGCUAACGCAUUAAGUUGUCCGCCUGGGGAGUACGGUCGCAAGACUGAAACUUAAAGGAAUUGACGGGG